rnacentral:rRNA from 1 species
UACGAAGGGGGCUAGCGUUGCUCGGAAUCACUGGGCGUAAAGGGUGCGUAGGCGGGUUUUUAAGUCAGAGGUGAAAUCCUGGAGCUCAACUCCAGAACUGCCUUUGAUACUGAAAGUCUUGAGUAUGGGAGAGGUGAGUGGAACUGCGAGUGUAGAGGUGAAAUUCGUAGAUAUUCGCAAGAACACCCGUGGCGAAGGCGGCUCUCUGGGACGGUACUGACGCUGAGACGCGAAAGCGUGGGGAGCGAACAGG